GACGAACGCUGGCGGCGUGCUUAACACAUGCAAGUCGAGCGGUAAGGCCCUUUCGGGGGUACACGAGCGGCGAACGGUGAGUAACACGUGGGUGACCUGCCCUCAGCUCUGGGAUAAGCCUGGGAAACCGGGUCUAAUACUGGAUAUGACUCCAUGACGCAUGUUGUGGGGUGGAAAGCCUUGUGCGGCUGAGGAUGGGCCCGCGGCCUAUCAGCUUGUUGGUGGGGUGAUGGCCUACCAAGGCGACGACGGGUAGCCGGCCUGAGAGGGCGACCGGCCACACUGGGACUGAGACACGGCCCAGACUCCUACGGGAGGCAGCAGUGGGGAAUCUUGCGCAAUGGGCGAAAGCCUGACGCAGCGACGCCGCGUGAGGGAUGACGGCCUGG
rnacentral:rRNA from 1 species